UCCUACGGGGCGCAGCAGUGGGGAAUUUUGCGCAAUGGGCUAACGCCUGACGCAGCAACGCCGCGUGGAGGAUGAAGGUCUUUGGAUUGUAAACUCCUGUCGACCGGGAAAAAGCAACUCGACCUAACACGUCGGGGAGUUGAUUGUACCGGUGGAGGAAGCCCCGGCUAACUCUGUGCCAGCAGCCGCGGUAAUACAGAGGGGGCAAGCGUUAUUCGGAAUUAUUGGGCGUAAAGGGCGCGUAGGCGGCUUGGCAAGUGGAAGGUGAAAUCCCUCGGCUUAACCGAGGAACUGCCCUCCAAACUGCUUUGCUUGAGGCCGGGAGAGGCGAGUGGAAUUCCCAGUGUAGCGGUGAAAUGCGUAGAUAUUGGGAGGAACACCAGUGGCGAAGGCGGCUCGCUGGACCGGUUCUGACGCUGAGGCGCGAAAGCGUGGGGAGCAAACGGGAUUAGAUACCCCGGUAGG
rnacentral:rRNA from 1 species